rnacentral:misc_RNA from 1 species
UUAACUUAUAUAUUACUCAGACAACACAAAAAUCAAGAGUUUAGGGUCCUCUGGCAGGCGCGGACCAGCCGAAGCCAGUGGUCAAGAGACGGGCCUGCCAAAGCAACAAAGGUAAUGUAAACAAAGGGUGGGAGAUCUACCCCAAAGGGCAAUUUCUCUGUAAUGAUCCUUCCGCAGGUUCACCUACGGAACACAUGGUCUACAACCUUUCAGAGGUAGGCCGGUCAUAUCUGAAUCCAAGAUGGGUAUUGACCUUCCUUAGACCACCUUCGUUUGAUCUGUGGACUGCUAUAAUAUGCAGCUGCAUGUUACCCUGAUGGUAUCCAAGCACAGUGAAGAUGUUGCCUAUGUUUAGACUUGUAUCCAAGGCUUCUGCAGGUGUUGUUCCUCUAGAGAAA